rnacentral:rRNA from 1 species
UACGAAGGUCCCAAGCGUUAUCCGGAUUUAUUGGGUUUAAAGGGUGCGUAGGCGGGUUGUUAAGUCAGUGGUGAAAGCUCCAUGCCUAACAUGGAAAUUGCCAUUGAUACUGACGAUCUUGAGUACAUUUGAAGUGGGCGGAAUGUGUCAUGUAGCGGUGAAAUGCUUAGAUAUGACACAGAACACCGAUUGCGUAGGCAGCUCACUAAACUGUAACUGACGCUGAGGCACGAAAGCGUGGGGAGCAAACAGG